AGAAUCAACGCUGGCGGCGUGCCUAACACAUGCAAGUCGCACGAGAAAGGGUAGCAAUACCUGAGUAAAGUGGCGCACGGGUGAGUAACACGUGAAUAAUCUACCUCCGAGUGGGGAAUAACUGAGAGAAAUCUUAGCUAAUACCGCAUAACACUUACGAGUCAAAGCAGCAAUGCGCUUGGAGAGGAGUUCGCGGCAGAUUAGUUAGUUGGCGGGGUAAUGGCCCACCAAGACGAUGAUCUGUAUCCGGCCUGAGAGGGCGCACGGACACACUGGAACUGAAACACGGUCCAGACUCCUACGGGAGGCAGCAGUGGGGAAUUUUGCGCAAUGGGGGAAACCCUGACGCAGCAACGCCGCGUGGAGGAUGAAGCCCCUUGGGGUGUAAACUCCUUUCGAUAGGGAAGAUAAUGACGGUACCUAUAGAAGAAGCCCCGGCUAACUUCGCGCCAGCAGCCGC
rnacentral:rRNA from 1 species